rnacentral:rRNA from 1 species
GUCGGAUUAGCUAGUUGGUGAGGUAACGGCUCACCAAGGCAGCGACGCGUAGGGGGUCUGAGAGGAUGGCCCCCCACAUUGGGACUGAGAUACGGCCCAGACUCCUACGGGAGGCAGCAGUGGGGAAUCUUGCGCAAUGGCCGAAAGGCUGACGCAGCGACGCCGCGUGUGGGAGGAAGCUUUUCGGAGUGUAAACCACUGUCAGAGGGGACGAAAUACCCGGGGAGGAAAUGCCCUUCGGGAGAUGACGGUACCCUCAGAGGAAGCACCGGCUAACUCCGUGCCAGCAGCCGCGGUAAUACGGAGGGUGCGAGCGUUGUUCGGAAUUAUUGGGCGUAAAGCGCACGUAGGCGGUCUUUAUAAGUCUCAUGGUGAAAUGCCGGGGCUCAACCCCGCGCUUGCCGGGGAUACUGGGAGACUGGAGACAGGUAGAGGCCAGCGGAAUUCCGGGUGUAGCGGUGGAAUGCGUAGAGAUCCGGAAGAACACCGGAGGCGAAGGCGGCUGGCUGG